AGGAAAUGGCUAAGUUGAAAAGAUAUCUAGCUUAGGAAUUUGAAAUCAAUUAUUUUGGUAUGCUACGGUAUAUUUUUGGGAUAGAAGUUGCUAAACCAGUUGACUAUCCAUUUUGUAAUGAGCUGGCAUUGGGAAACCCAUCGAUGGGGGUUAUAAUGGAAGAUUGGUUGGAAAGUUGAUUAAGCUUUCUCCCGCCAGACCAGAUAUAUUCUAUGUUAUAAGUGUAGGUAGUAAAUUCAUGCAUUACUCUCGAGAUUCACAUUUAGAUGUUCUUCAUAUGUUGAGUUACUUGAACUCUGCCCCAGGGAAAUUAUUGUUUUUUUUUUUCUAAAUAUGGUCAUCUAAAAACAAAAGGCUGUGCAAAUGCAAAUUGGGCUGGAUGCUCAGAUGAUAGAAUAUCUAUAUCGAGUUGUUGCACGUUUGCAAGUGGAAAUCUAGUCACUUAGAGGAGAAAAAAAGGGCGUAUCAACAAUAUUAAGUGCAGAGGUUGAAUAUAGAGCCAUUGCUCGAAAUGUUUGUGAACUUAUGUAAAUUUAAAGGUUAAUGCAACAUGAUACGGUUAUCAAAUAAGAAAAAAUUGUUCCUAUAUUCUGAUAAUAAGGCUGACAUUAGUAUUACUCUCAAUCCAGUUCAACAUGAUUGAACAAAGCACAUUCAAAUCAAUUGACAUUUCAUUAUAAAAAGAAACUAAAUUGUGAAAUUCUGAAUAUGUCGCAUAUGACUUUUGAAAAUCAGUUGAUUGAUAUUUUCACUAAAGAUAUCAGUAGCAAAUCUUUCCAUGAUUUAGUUUGCAAGAUGGACAUGUGAGAUAUCUUUACACUUUCUUGGGGAGGAGUGUUGACAACAUUAUGCUAAUUUAGGUUUUUUUUUCCCCUUUAUUGUAUAUUUCCUUGAUAAGCGCUGUAAAAUAAGCUUUUUUUUCUGUAUAUUCUAAUUUCCUAGUUUAGAAUAUUCCUAUUUUAGAAUUAUUGUAUAGACAAACUAUCUUGUAACUUACAUAAUUAAGACAAUAAGAAUUAUUUAGUUCAAUCUCUGUCUUCUUUGUCAACAAUAUUCAUUAUACAUACAAGACAAACAAUAAUGAUUUCCACUGUCCAAACUUCUAACAUAAUAUGACUUCUAACUUGAUUUCUUGAAACUAUGAACCUAACAUGCUAACUCCAAUAGCAAACUAUUAAAAAUCUUUCAGACUUGCAUUUGAAAUCACAUUUCCUCCUUUUGUUUCUCCCCAAACAAACAUUGUCAUUAUGAAUAUGUAUCGAAUUUCAAUAUUCCUCAAAUUCAAGACAUGAGAUAUAAUCUAAUACGAAUAACACAAUCUUACUUUUUUUUUUCUACAACAAAUGACAACAUUAUAGGAAAAAACAUAACUAUCUAGACAUGUGAAUGAGCUAUAUAUAUGCAUAUAUAGCCAAGACAUCCUUACCUCUUACUCCGAGAGCAGCAUAAGCAAUGAUCUUUCACUAAAAUAUCAGGUAGUAAAAAGCACCAUUUUUUUUUUUUAAUUUGAUUAGUAAUACUUUGAAUUAGUUCACAAAUUCCUAAUAAGACAACAUUGUAGCAGGUGAUAAAAGGUUGCCCAUAUAAUUCUUACUUUUUCUUGCAUGUUGGAGGAAGGAAAAAAAUCUAUAAACAUAUAACAAAUCAAGAGAAAAGCAUUUUGACUAACAUAUUAAGGGCUAUUGAGAUUUUCCUAGUACUUUUAUUAAAACAAAAAAGUUAAUAAUGUAUAGCCUGGGCAAGGGCACACGAUGAGAGUUUGAAAAAAAAUGGGGAAAAAGAAAAGCAAUACUUUAAGUUAACCAAUUAUGGUCUAUUAAGAUUUUCCUCAAAUAGGCCCUAGGCUCCCUAGUCCCUCCUGCCCCCGGCACUCCCUUCCCUCAUGCUCCAGUGAUUACCCCUCGGGUCUUGCUGCUUUCUUUCUUUAAGGAAAGGAUACGGUUAAAUUUUGGUCAUGUAAAUAAGCGUGGGAAGAAGAUCCAUUUGGACAGACAAAGAAGCGAGGAGUCUUCGAAACAAUAAAAGUGCACCAUUUCAGCUUCAUCUUAUGACAAUAACAACUCUGUUUACACUGCAUGCAUAUCACAGAGCUAUGGAGAUCCUAAACAGCAGAGACACGAGUAGAUUACCUUGAUAAGGGAGAAGCGGCAUUAAAUGCCUCACACGCCCUCCUACUCUCCUUAAAAUAUUCGUCUGCAGCUUGCAAAGCAGCUACAGCCAUCCCAUGAGAUUUCUCCGUGUUCCCCUCGUCAAGGAUCAAGCCAUGAUAAUAAUAUGCUGCCG
rnacentral:misc_RNA from 1 species